AGAGUAAACUGGGUAUUCACAGGUAAAGAGAGAUAAUUUCUAGAACAAAAAAUGUCAGCCAGAAGAAAUGGGCCAAAUAUUAGUGUCCUCGUUUGGAUUUUAAUGAAGUUGUCAAAUUUAUGGGCUAUGAUAACUUAUAAUGGGCAAAAGAAUGUUAAGUAGUCUAGAUGGGAGAGGGCAGAAAUUACAACAACAAAAAAAUUCAGACACCAAAUGAUGACACAAUCUUCCAAAUUAUAAAUCUGAUCUCAUUUUUAUUCAGUGACAUUUGAUAUCUCUCAACUUUCCACACUUUAAUAUAUUCAGUAGUAAAUUUGAUAGGAUUGAAAAAAAUGACACUAUAAUUCCAAAGUCUUUUGCAUAGAUCAUUUCUGAGAAUCUGUGCCUAACCUAACCUCAUUUCCAGAAACUUCUCAAGCUGCCCCAUGUCUCAGACUCAAUCACCACAAUUGCAAUCAAAAGACGGCUUUAGUUGGAACCUGGAACGUGCUAAUCCUGUCAGGCAGCCUGUGAUUCUGGAAGUGAAGGAACAAAAAAAAAAAAAAAAAGGGAAAAUUUCACAUAAAAUUUCCAUAUGAGGAAGAAGAUGGAAACUUUUGUGUUGUGCGUUCAGUAAAACGGGCACUUUCUUAAGCAGGUGGCAAAGAAAGCCUGAGAAUCCGGCCUGACUUUUUCAUUUCAGAACCCUGCAUUUCCCACACAGAGGAGAUAGAGCACAGCCAUUGCAUGGUAGAUCCAGCUUGCUCUCACAGCCAUUGUGCAAAUAAACAUACAUGUGGCAAGGCAGUGCAGUUUUCAGUUGUUAAAAGUUCUGUCAUGCCACGAGAUGGAGCAAAGGAUAAACGCUGAUGUAAACAGGCAACAGGACUCUGACUCCACACCCCUGUCUGCACGGAGGAUGCUCAGUCCUUACACAACAAAAUGUGAGAUGCUUCCAGUCACCUCCUGGCCCUGACCCCUGAGCUCCGUGCUCACCCCACUGGAGGUCCUGGCAGUUCUCCGAGCAGGCUGUACCUGUCUGGGGUGAUCCUCUCCACUUAAUGUUAGACAUUAAGUUCCCUGUGAAAUCUGUUUUGACUCACUGAGGUUAUGAAUAUUUUAUCACAACUAUCAUCAUAUACUACCAAAUCUCCAAUUUUCUUAUCUCCAUUACUAGACUGUGAGCUCCCUGGAGGCUGGACCUGGGUUUGGCACCGAGUGGCACUCAUACAUACUUCUUGAAUAAGAGAAUGUAUGUACACAGUGGCAUGAAAUUGAUUUGAAUUUGUUGGUUUUCUUAAGUGCUAAAGUUGUAGACAGUUCAGUAAAAACUAUAAAGCGGUUACCCUGUAAACCAUGAGUACUAUUAAUUGGAACCUCCUUUCUUACAUAUCCACUUGUGUUUCUGUUAAUGUUUCCAAAAUAAAUAAAGAGCAGGCUAGAGGGAAACCUCCAGUCCUUAGAAACCA
ensembl:lncRNA MANCR mitotically associated long non coding RNA